rnacentral:sRNA from 1 species
GGACGAACGUGAGGUGUGUGUUGCCCC